rnacentral:rRNA from 1 species
UACAGAGGUCUCAAGCGUUGUUCGGAUUCAUUGGGCGUAAAGGGCUCGUAGGCGGUUUGUCGCGUCGGGAGUGAAAACUCAGGGCUUAACUCUGAGCCUGCUUCCGAUACGGGCAGACUAGAGGUAUGCAGGGGAGAACGGAAUUCCUGGUGUAGCGGUGAAAUGCGCAGAUAUCAGGAGGAACACCGGUGGCGAAGGCGGUUCUCUGGGCAUUACCUGACGCUGAGGAGCGAAAGUGUGGGGAGCGAACAGG